rnacentral:rRNA from 1 species
UACGUAGGGGACAAGCGUUGUCCGGAAUCAUUGGGCGUAAAGGGCGUGUAGGCGGUCCGGUAAGUCCGCUGUGAAAGUCGGGGGCUCAACCCUCGAAUGCCGGUGGAUACUGUCGGGCUAGAGUGCGGGAGAGGCGAGUGGAAUUCCUGGUGUAGCGGUGAAAUGCGCAGAUAUCAGGAGGAACACCAAUUGCGAAGGCAGCUCGCUGGAACGUAACUGACGCUGAGACGCGAAAGCGUGGGGAGCAAACAGG